GGGCAGGUGGCGAAACUGGCAAACGCAGGAGACUUAAAAUCUCCCGGCCGCAAGGCCAUGUGGGUUCGAUCCCCACCCUGCCCA
rnacentral:tRNA from 1 species